ACAGAAACUUAUCAAAAUUAGAAACAUCGGCAGCUGCUUACUGCUUCUCCUUCUCAGUCUCCAUUUAAAAGCAAAGAAAAGGAACCAAGAGAUUUGCUCCUAAAGUUGGUGCAACAACAAAACCAACAUGAACUUCUGAUGAUUUCCUUUUUUCCUCCGCUGUUCAAAACAUAACUUCUCAUGUGUACUGAAUUACAAAUUUUUCCCACACAAUACUUUGUAGUGAUUUCAAUUUAGUAUUCUAGAAUAUUUUGGAAUAGUAAAAAUCAAUUGCUAUAUGUAUGCAUAUUCAACAGUAGAACAAAUAGCUGUUAGUGUGGAGAUUGAAAAUGAGCAUAUCUAAAGGAAGUCAGAAGAAAUCAAUUCAAACAAUUAAAAUAUUUGAGAACAAUCUGCCCAAGAAAUUUCAAUGUCUUCUUUGAAACGUCAAAAUGCGGGUUUCUUCAGCUAAAAAACUCACCUCCUGUUUUAUUGGCCCGGUCAUCCACUGUGGCACUGCCUGCUUCAUCAAGCUAGGCUAUACAGUUGACCUGGAAUAUUUACAACUGUGGUGUUGCAGAAGCCACUGGGAAGGGCUUUGGAUCUAAAUCAGAAAGGAGGUUGUUCAAGUUUGCCUGCUCGCUUCCAAUAUCAUUAGGAGAGAAACUGUUAUCUGAACAAUGGUACAAAAUGAUCUCUGUGUGAAUGUGCCAUUUGGGUUGCAGAAGAUGGGAGUGCCUUCAUGCCUUACCCAGCAACUUGGUGCGAGGUACCAUCACCCGUUGCACCAGUCGCAGCAAUCCUUGAUGUUCGCCGCGAUAGUUCUCAAGCAAUUUCCAGUCAUUGCUGCUUGAAUCAGAGGUGAUUGCUCUUGUGCAAACAAGCUUUAGGCGACUGAAGCACUGAACGCGAACAUCGGAGGGUGGUUCAAGGGAUCCUGCUGCACGAGGUUGGACGCGAUCUCAAAUGGUUCUAGCGAGCUGGUUUCCGAUCAAGGUUGGCCAUGCAGAAGCCAUUAGUGUCAGGGAUGCCAAAAAGUUAUGGUUAGGGUAGCAGAGCCGGCAGCAGUCGUACAAGAUGAUGCCUUGGCGAGUGUCGAAGCACCGCGGGGUGGUAAUGUUGGUUAUUGCGAUCUGAAUGCAGCUCUAGCAGUCGCAAUGGCGAGGGCACCUUCGCAAAGGUAGAGGCCAUUGGCAAGGGUCAGCACCAGACCCAGCUAUUGCAUUGUGGAGUUGGAGGAUGAAGACUUGGAGUUCAGGGAGGAGAAGAAAGUAUCGAGGCUGGUCGCAGAAUGCUGUUUGAACUGUAAAAGCUUCCGGUGCAGUUGGAUUUGAUGGGUGGGAAGCUGAGGGUGCCGGAAGUGGUUCUGGGGGCAAUGAAGAGGACAAAUAGCAUGGCUUCUGCAUGAGAUGACAUGAAUGCCAUAACUAUUGGGUUGUGGAGAAGAGUGGUUUAUAUAAUAGGAUAUAUAGACUGUGGGGGUAAAUUUCUCUUUUAGUCGAUUUCUUGUUUCUGUGAUUUCAAUCUGGAUUGAACAGGUACAAAGAGAAUUAGUCUUCUACUUUUGGGGUGUUUGUGUUUUCCUCCUGGCUGGAAAAUCUAAAUGAUGGCCGCUGCCGGAGUAAUUUAGAGGGAGUGAUGGAGCAAAGCAAGCAAGCAUGCUGCUGCUGCUGCUAUUAUUAUUAUCCUCAAUAUUAUUUUAAGCAUGGCUCGAUGACAAACAUGUAUUGGAAUUUGAUCUGUUACUCCUAUGCAGCAAAAUUGUUGGCAGGUGGAUUGCGGCAAUCAAUCAACUCUUGUGAACUGGGGCUUGUCUCAGUAGCUGCACUCCUCUGCGAAGAAACCAGGGGUACUUCUAAGCUCAAGUCGUGGAUGGUGCAUCUCUAAGAAAUUGGACCUGGAUAAUUACCGUGCUGGUGAAAUAAGGACAGAAGAUCCGUCCGCUAAAAGCUGAACAUGGGUGAUUGCUGAUCCAUGAAGACAGGUGCUGAUCCAUGAGCGUGACAUUCAGAUCAAUCCGGAAGAGAUUGGGGAUUGACAAAUUUCUAUUUUUGUUGGAAGAAAUAUUUCUGUUUUGUUAUGUUUGUUUUUGAAUUCUAAAUUCCGUUUGGAAAUAGGAGUCCAUCUUAAGAGUUGUUUCCGAAUUAAGUCAGAUUGUUGGCUAGGUUCCAUGUUUGUUUUGCUUUCUGUUUAGGGUCAAGGGUUAAGUUAUGCGUAGCCUAUUCAAGACAUCGCUAAAAGGGUUUGUUCGCUUGCUUGGUUUUUGGUUUCAGCCAUCAAUGAAAAGCAGAGUUUCUUCUGCUUGAAA